UACGUAGGGUGCGAGCGUUAACCGGAAUUACUGGGCGUAAAGCGUGCGCAGGCGGUUUUGUAAGACAGAUGUGAAAUCCCCGGGCUUAACCUGGGAACUGCGUUUGUGACUGCAAGACUCGAGUACGGCAGAGGGGGGUGGAAUUCCACGUGUAGCAGUGAAAUGCGUAGAGAUGUGGAGGAACACCGAUGGCGAAGGCAGCCCCCUGGGUCGAUACUGACGCUCAUGCACGAAAGCGUGGGGAGCAAACAGG
rnacentral:rRNA from 1 species